rnacentral:rRNA from 1 species
UGAGUUUGAUCCUGGCUCAGGGUGAACGCUUGUGGUAAGCCUUAUACAUGCGAGUUGAACGUAUUUUUACGUAGCGAACGGGUGAGUAAUGCAAAGGUUAUUUGCUUUUAGAUUCGGAAUAAAAUACCGAUGUAAAAGAAUCAGAUCGUCUAAAAAUAAGCUUUUGUAGAAUUAGGUAGUUGGUAAGGUAAAGGCUUACCAAGCCGACGAUUCUUAGCUGGUCCGAGAGGAUGAUCAGCCACACUGGAACUGAGACAAGGUCCAGGCUUUUUUAUAAAGCCAGCAGUAGGGGAUAUUGGACAAUGAGCUAGCGCUUGAUCCAGCUAUACCACAUGAGUGAUUAAGGCUCUUUGGCUGUAAAACUCGAUAUUUUGGGAAGAGAAUGACAAUACCAAAAGAAAAGUCCCGGCUAACUUCGUGCCAGCAGUCGCGGUAAUACGGAGGGGGCGAGCGUUAUCUGGAAUAAUUGGGCGUAAAGGGUUCGUAGGCUGUAUUUUGCUGUUGAAUGUUAAAAAUCAGAGCUUAACUUUGAAAAUGCAUUCAAAACGUUUAUACUUGAGUACGAAAUAGGACAAUGGAAUUUUACAAGGAGGGGUGAAAUCCGUAGAACUGUAAAGGAAUGUCAAAAGCGAAGGCAGUUGUCUGGGUCGUUACUGACGCUAAGGAACGAAAGCGUGGGUAUCCAACAGGAUUAGAUACCCUGGUAGUCCACGCCGUAAAUUAUGAGUGCUCAUGCUUAGAUUUUUUAGGCAUUUAGUUAACACGUUAAGCACUCCGCCUGAAGAGUAUAAUCGCAAGAUUGAAACUCAAAGGAAUUGACGGGGGCCAACACAAGUGGUGGAGCAUGUUGUUUAAUGCGAAAAUACGCGCGAAACCUUACCAGUUCUUGACAGUGUGUUAAGUGACGAAAAAAUAGCUUUUUUUGUCCUCUUUAUAGUAAGAAUUUUCACACACAGGUGUUGCAUGGCUGUCGUCAGCUCGUGUUGUGAAAUGUUAGAUUAAUUUCUUAAACGAGCGCAACCCCUACUUUUAGUUGCCAGUGUUUGUUGUUCCAAACAGGAACUCUAAAAGAACUGCUAGUGGAUAAGCUAGAGGAAGGUGGGGAUAACGU